CCUACGGGUGGCAGCAGUGAGGAAUAUUGGUCAAUGGACGCAAGUCUGAACCAGCCAAGUAGCGUGCAGGAUGACGGCCCUCCGGGUUGUAAACUGCUUUUAGUUGGGAAUAAAAGGGGGCUCGUGAGCCCCUUGUUGUAUGUACCGUCAGAAAAAGAACCGGCUAAUUCCGUGCCGGCAGCCGCGGUAAUACGGAAGGUCCGGGCGUUCUCCGGAUUUAUUGGGUUUAAAGGGAGGGUAGGCCGGCUUUUAAGUCAGCUGUGAAAGUCUGCGGCGCAACCGUGGAAGUGCAGUUGAAACUGGUGGCCUUGAGUGGACACAGGGAUGCCGGAAUUCAUGGUGUAGCGGUGAAAUGCUUAGAUAUCAUGAAGAACUCCGAUAGCGAAGGCAAGUGUCCGGGGUGCAACUGACGCUGAGGCUCGAAAGUGCGGGUAUCAAACAGGAUUAGAUACCCGGGUAGUC
rnacentral:rRNA from 1 species